rnacentral:rRNA from 1 species
GACGAACGCUGGCGGCGUGCUUAACACAUGCAAGUCGAACGGAAAGGCCCUGCUUUUGUGGGGUGCUCGAGUGGCGAACGGGUGAGUAACACGUGAGUAACCUGCCCUUGACUUUGGGAUAACUUCAGGAAACUGGGGCUAAUACCGGAUAGGAGCUCCUGCUGCAUGGUGGGGGUUGGAAAGUUUCGGCGGUUGGGGAUGGACGCGCGGCUUAUCAGCUUGUUGGUGGGGUAGUGGCUUACCAAGGCUUUGACGGGUAGCCGGCCUGAGAGGGUGACCGGCGACAUUGGGACUGAGAUACGGCCCAGACUCCUACGGGAGGCAGCAGUGGGGAAUAUUGCACAAUGGGCGGAAGCCUAAUGCAGCAACGCCGCGUGCGGGAUGACGGCCUUCGGGUUGUAAACCGCUUUCGCCUGUGACGAAGCGUGAGUGACGGUAAUGGGUAAAGAAGCACCGGCUAACUACGUG